GAUGUAACAUAUUACAAUCGGUGAGUUCUAAAUGUUAUGGAGGAUGUGUUCUGCUAAUAAUUUCAUAAAAAGAACUCAAAUUCAAAAAAAUCAGCAUGUUAUUAUAGCCGAGAUAUGCAAUUCAUGACUAACCUUGUCAUUGUUUUUAAGUUGAUGAUAUGCAUUUCAUGGCUAACCUUGUUUUACUUGAGCUUUUAUUUUCUUACUCCUCUCCUCGCACCUUAUUUUUUUUUGUUCCGCAAUCGCUCAUGCUCCCCAAGUUCAGUUCCAGAGGUGGCACGGAAAUCACUGUGCAGGUUUUUGCAGAUACAUGGUUUAAUGGACAAGAGUUGGAUGGAUAUUACUCAGCGUACUCUCCCCGAGUUUGUCAACAGAGUGAAUAUGUACCUUGAUUUUGCAUUUGCCCGUGUUGUGAGGGGAGAUAAGAUUCCUUGUCCUUGUUACAAUUGUAUUAAUUCAUUUUUUAGAACUUGAGAUGGUGUGUUCAUGCACCUGAUUUUACUUGGUAUCGUAAGGCAUUAUAAUGGUGGCAUUAUCAUGGCGAAGAGUACAAGGAACAGAGUGGGGGAGAGCACUGACAGUGAUCAAGAACAUGUUGAGCAACCCUAAAAUUUAUCAAACUGUAUUCUUACUUGAUAACCAUUUUUUUUAAAGACCUCUAGGCAAUAGUAAAGCCCAAAAUUAGUUUGACGAAGUACUCCUACUUAUUACCCUUAUGCUUUUAUUUUUGUCAAUGUGACCAUGAGAUAUUGAUCAAAACAGAAAGGCUACACUGUUACCUCAAUAUCGUUUAACUAAAGGCUAGUUGAUGUCAUUAUAUAGGGUUAAUAGGUGAGAAAAUUAAGGUCCAUAAUCCUCCCUCAAAAUCCUCAGUGAUUUCGGAAACACAAAUUGGUGCACAAUGUUCAUUUUUAUUUGCCAUUAUGCGUUUCAUAUAUGCAGAUCAUAGCUAGAGCAUCACAUUUAAGGAGAAUUUCCUGACUUCUUCCACUUUUUCCUAGCACAAACCUAAAUUAGUGCUCCCCAUUGAGCUCUUGCCUGGAUAUCCAAUGACCCAAAACUAGUAUGAACUCUUUACCAGCCAAGGUCCAUGGACUUUAAUGAACUUGAUUUGAGUUUUUAAUGAAAUUGCUUUGAAGAAACUCCGAAACAGCAUGUUCUGGUAGUUCUGGAGAUUUAUGUUCUUGCUUUUUCCUUUUCUGUUUUUUUUUUUUUUUCUUUCCCUCUCUUUCUUGUAAGCUUGUUCUACAUUGCUCAAACGCCCUUUAUGAUAGUUUCGUGCAUUUCUUAUCUAAAAGGUGAGAGAUAGCACUAGCAUGGGUAGGGCGAAUAAUAGACAACAUAUUACAAAGAAGCUAAUGUUGGAAAUCCUUGUAGAGUUACAAAGGUGGUCUGCAAUGAUGGUCAAGAGUUUAUUACGAGGAUUGAAACGAUAUUUGGACGACAUGCUUUGUUAGAUGUUGAGAAGUGGAGCAAAAUUUCCCCGCGCUAUUGAGAAGAUGAUGAAUAUUGUUUAUGCAAGUAAUUGCGUUACAUACUUUUGUAUAUAAUUGCAUUAGGUUUCUCUCUA